GGCCUCGUAGCUCAGUUUGGAUAGAGCAGCAGGCUUCUAACCUGAAGGUCGGGGGUUCGAAUCCCCUCGGGGCCA
rnacentral:tRNA from 1 species